rnacentral:rRNA from 1 species
UACGAAGGGGGCUAGCGUUGCUCGGAAUCACUGGGCGUAAAGGGUGCGUAGGCGGGUCUUUAAGUCAGGGGUGAAAUCCUGGAGCUCAACUCCAGAACUGCCUUUGAUACUGAAGAUCUUGAGUUCGGGAGAGGUGAGUGGUAACUGCGAGUGUAGAGGUGAAAUUCGUAGAUAUUCGCAAGAACACCAGUGGCGAAGGCGGCUCACUGGCCGAUACUGACGCUGAGGUGCGAAAGCGUGGGGAGCAAACAGG